rnacentral:lncRNA from 10 species
AUCCUUUCUCCCCUAUCUUCGGGCGGUUCCGGCUGGGAACAAUACCCUCAGGGUCAGGAGGACAGGAUCUGAGUGCAGGCCAGCCAAAAAGCUCCUCCCUGUCACAGGUGCGCGCUGCCCACAGAUUGCCACGACUGGGGGGCUCCCUACCAGUCGCAGCCCACCCUCGCCUCAGGUCUUCUCUCGCGUCCCCGGGCGGCCGCCUGCGCUAACGACCACAUGAAAACGUCUCAGCACCCAACACCAUCUCUCUAUUUCAUCUCCAUCAGCGAUGGAGAGAACGGAUUUUGCCGCGGCUGGGCUGCACAGCAGCGCCGCGGUCCACAGCAGAGCCCGCGACCGCCAUCUUAGGCAGUUCCAGGAAGCGGCCAUUUCAGAGCGCACCGCUUAGCCGCGGCGGCGGCUCUGCUUCUCACCUUCACCGAGGCCUGAACAGGGUCAACAGCCAGUCGUCGUGGACUGGAGGGGGAGGGGAGAGAGGGAGGGGAAUGAAAAACAAAACAGAGAGGAAAGAAGGAUUCGGGGACAGGGUGAUGCUCUCAGCUCAGGGAUAUCGCCUAGGCCAUCUCCAUAGAGAUCCGAUUCGCGGCUGGCGCGGUCGCCGGUCUGAAGAUAAAUUUAGCACUCUAGAGCACCCGAACCCUACAAUCUUCACGAGCGACUCUGCCGCCGCCCAAUCAGCGCCAGAUUUGCGUCCCGCCACCAAUCCGCGCUGAGCAGCGGGGCGGGACCAAAGGAAAGGACCAAGCUCGGUUGAGGCGCGGCCCAGCCGCAGCCGCAGUCACAGCCUCAGCCGCAGCGGCCGUGCUACCUAGGUGAUAGCGGAGCGGCUGGGUAGGAAGCAAUUGUUCUCAAACUUCACUAGCCCCGUCGGCGCGGACGCUUGUCGAGAAUGCAGAUUCCUGGGUACUGCCAGAUACGGUUGGUGAUCUUGUAGGGCUGGAGUGGAAGCCAUGAAUCUGCAUUUUCAUCAUUUCUGGCCCUCUGCCCGGGCUGGGGUGAUUCACGGGGAUUCGUAGUGGCCCCAAAGGAGCACGCAGAACCUCGGCUGCUGUGCAUUUAUCACCUCUUUUGUUCCCGGAGGCCGCACCCCAGGUCCAGUUUACACAGCUGCCAACUCCUUUUCUUGGUUCCCACUGGAAUCUAGGAAGAAAACUCGCCCUUUACUUCUCCGCCCCACACCCGACGACGGAGUGUCUAGAGGUCUGGUCGGCCUUGGCUGUGCGGAGGGCUAGGCCUGACGAGCGGGCGCUGAUGCGGCGCAGACCCCGCCGGACCUCUUGGUCGGCCCGGGGUAGGCUGGGGAGCCGCGGGAACAGGACUGGAUAGGGAAAGCGGCACCGCAGCGUCCACGGGCAAGCUGAAAGUCCGCUUGAUGUCUUUGCAUCACAGUGGCGCCCUCCCCGCAGGAACGCCCGGCCGCCUGCACCGAACGUUUGCCUGCAGGGAACGGCCAACCCGCCCUGAAAUACUCUUUUUGUGGGCUGCAGCUUUCGGGUAUUUUAAGCCAUGGUUCUGUGCCCUUCCUUGUUUUCAAAAACACCACAGCCAAAGGCUGCGGGUUGUGUGCUUUCAUUUUGUGUUAAGUUCUGUGGUGGAGACCUGGAGUCUGUUUUUCCAAAUAGGCACCUUGAAAUAGAUACGCUUCUUAAGCGGGGAAAGUACGAGCUAGGAAUUAUCUGUGAAUGUAGGACCACUGGAUUUGCAGUCUUCAUCUGACACUGUGGAGAGUUUCUAGGAAUGAAACAGAUAUAUGGCCUUGGGUCCCCUUUUUUUUUCUUUUUUUUUUUUUUAAUAGAGACGAGCAUCUCACUAUGUUGCCUAGGGUAGUCUUGAACUCCUGGCCUCAAGCAAUCCCCACCCGACUCCGCCUCUCGAAGUGAUGGGAUUACAGGCAUAAACCACCACGCCUGGCCAGAAGGUGCUUUAACACCAAAUCUGAAAAUUGUUCAGAAGAGAAACAUUGAGCAUGAACACCAUCUGUGCGAGUCAUUUACUUAUUGCCCCUCACCUCUAAAUCUACCUUCUGUACUCUUCUUCCCUGUAAUGAUGGGGCUAGUUGUCCUCAAACUGUUUCUCAGACUUCUUUUUAAGCUUGCUUCCUGUUCAGUUCUGCCAAUAGGGGUCACUAGAGAGAGACUGGGAGGCAGAAGGAGAGAAUAUGCUUCCUGUUUUUUCUGUUCUUGUUAAUGUUGCUUACAGGACCAGCAAUGCUUCUUCACCUAGAGACACUUCUCCCAGCAGUGGCAGUGCCACUUCAGCUUCUUUCAGCACUACUGGAAUCAGCCUCAGUGAUUCCCCCUGUACCCGCUCAGAGAUUAUCCACAGCAGCCAGAUGGUUCUACCUUCCACAAAGAUUGUGGUUGCAAUUCUGGGCUUCUAAGUUCUGGUUACUUCAUAUUUUUCCUUUUGUUCCUCCAGCCCUAGAGGUGGUAGCUGCUUUCUGAAGUUAUUAUUUCUAGAUGACUUUUGGUUUUUCAGCCUUUGUAUUUUGCUUUUCAGCCCUCUAAUGCCUGUAUAACCAAUUUCCCUGUAAUAAAUAAAUUUCCUCCAUUGAAAUACCUAGUAUGGCUUUUUUUUUGUUUGUUUUUCUGACUGGACUGACAUAAAGAGGACUGCUCAUUAUAUGCCAGCUCAGAACCACUUAAUUAUGAAAAUAGUAUAUUCAUUGUCUC